CGGAGGGUGCGAGCGUUGUUCGGAAUUAUUGGGCGUAAAGCGCGUGUAGGCGGUUUGUCAGGUCCGAUGUGAAAGCCCCGGGCCCAACCCCGGGAAGUGCAUUGGAAACCGGCAGACUUGAAUUCGGGAGAGGAGAGCGGAAUUCCUGGGUGUAGGGGUGAAAUCCGUAGAUAUCAGGAAGAACACCGGUGGCGAAGGCGGCUCUCUGGACCGACAUUGACGCUGAGACGCGAAAGCGUGGGUAGCAAACAGGAUU
rnacentral:rRNA from 1 species